UACGUAGGGUGCGAGCGUUGUCCGGAUUUAUUGGGCGUAAAGAGCUCGUAGGCGGUUUGUCGCGUCGGCCGUGAAAUCUCCACGCUUAACGUGGAGCGUGCGGUCGAUACGGGCAGACUUGAGUUCGGUAGGGGAGACUGGAAUUCCUGGUGUAGCGGUGAAAUGCGCAGAUAUCAGGAGGAACACCGGUGGCGAAGGCGGGUCUCUGGGCCGGUACUGACGCUGAGGCGCGAAAGCGUGGGGAGCGAACAGG
rnacentral:rRNA from 1 species